CCAAUGGUAGAAGAAUACAUUGAUAUGUCAACAUUUUUUUAAUUUUUUGUCAAAAAUAAGUAGAUAUAUGUUUUUUAUACGAAACCAAUUAGAAGUUGUUAUGUUUUUGGUCCCAGCAGCUAUGUUGUAUUCUUCUUCCAUAAUAAAUCCUUUAAUCAUGGUACCCUAAUUUUAAUUAUUUCGAGGAUCUUGGACAUAUUUUUCAACUGAUUUGGCUGUAACAUGCAUUCUCAGGGCGUAGAAUGCCUCUUCGAUAACGUUAAAACGCGUGAUUAAGCUGGCCAAUUUUUUGAUUAUAUGUCAAAAAAAAUAAAAAAAAAAACUUCUUAAGAUGCGUAGUUUUGGAGUCGGGGUAAGGCAAUCGUAAUACCCUUUAAAAAUACCAACAACCUUCCAGCACUAAAAUAUUAAUUUUCACUCCCAAAACCUUUAAUAUUUGACCUAAAACUCGUAUUACUAUGAAUUUGACAAGCAAAAUUAAUUUGAACUUCAAACCCGUUUGUAAGCCAUAAUAUUUUGUAAAUAAAAAAAUUAGAAGAA